GACCGUGCAAAGGUAGCAUAAUCAUUUGCCUUAUAAUUGAAGGCUAGUAUGAAUGGUUUGACGAGAAUUAAGCUGUCUCUUUUCAAUUAGAUAUAACUUUAUUAAUAGGUGAAGAAGCCUAUAUGCUAUUGAAAGACAAGAAGACCCUAUCGAGCUUUAAAGUAUUUAGUAAAUUUAUUACAUAUUCAUAGAAAAAUAAAAUUACUAAAAAUUUUAGUUGGGGCGACUGAGGAACAAAUAAAGCUUCCUUUUAAUAAAAAUACUUACUAGUUGUGAUCCAGCACGGUUGAUUAAAGGAAUUAGUUACCGUAGGGAUAACAGCAUAAUCCUCUUUGAGAGCUCUUAUCGAAAAGAGGGUUUGUGACCUCGAUGUUGGACCAGAAUACCCAAAAGAUGCAGCUGUCUUUAAAGGUUGGUCUGUUCGACCAUUAAAAUUCUACGUGAUCUGAGUUCAGACCGGCGUGAGCCAGGUCAGUUUCUAUCUUCAAUUAUUGUAGUAACCUUAGUACGAAAGGACCAGGAUACUAUAAGAUAAUUAUAAUAUUUUGAUUAGAUAUAAAGAACAAUUGAGUUAUUAGCUAUCAAAUUAGCAAAGACUAAUGCAAUUGACUUAGGAUCAAUAGACAUAGGUGAAACCCCUUUAUUUGAUAUAUAGAGAUGGCAGAAAAA
rnacentral:rRNA from 1 species